UAUAGGGCAGCCGACGCGUCGUGGGUAUGCAGAGCAGAGGUAGAAAUUUCGCCCUCGGCGCUCCUUCUCCUACUUCACCGCAGGGAAUCUCGAAGAAGUUCCGACACACUUCCGACGAGGACGGAUUGCGGGGAAGUUGCCGCUGCUUGCUUGAAUGGAAGCUGAAAUCUCAAACGAUCGGAUUAGUGGUGAAGUUUUAGAAGACCAAGACUACUUGGAGAAGAUAAAUAAGCUAGAGGGUUACAUGGAUGAGUGUUUUUAUCUGGUGCUUGGUGGCUCAUGUUCAAUUCAGGUGAAGAAGAUUGCAAGAGAAAGCUGUUCCCAAGAAGUUGUAGAAGUGGCAUUGCGCUCAAUCUCCUCCCUAAUUACCCUUCUCUCCUCCAUGUCUUCUACCAACCUCAUCCUCCAUUCUUCACUUUGAUCUUCACCCCAUAUCCCCUUUUGUUUCCUGUCAAAUGCAUGUACACGACCUUCCUGCCGUGGAUUAUGUGAAUACUAUUUUUUCUUUUUUGGAUGGGAAGUCGGAGCUUUGCUCCCCUACACCUAGGCUCGGAAGACAUCAACAGUUUAUUGUAUUGGGCUUAUCAGAAGAUUUGAACUCGAGACCUCUAAGCAGUAUGAUUCAGAAACUCCAAGCCCAUUACCAACUGGGUUCCCUUUGGGGCACUUUUCCGUUUUCUCGUCUUUAUGUCUUCCAACAGUAGUCAAUCUAAGCAUACUUUACAAGAAACUUCACUUAUUACCGUCCGGUUGAUGCAAUUUUUGGGGAACUCAGGUCGGGUCGAAGGGUGAGGUUGACCGAAUCGAGCUAUCGAGUAAAUCGAUCGUCGGGUGGUUGAGGAAGAGUGGAGUCUAGGGUUGGAAUAGCGAUGAUCUGCAAUAAGUGAGGAUAUAAGGAAAAGAACACUGGUGUUGUGUCUAUCGACCACACUUCGAUGCUUAA